rnacentral:rRNA from 1 species
ACGAACGCUGGCGGCAUGCCUAACACAUGCAAGUCGAACGAGACCUUCGGGUCUAGUGGCGCACGGGUGCGUAACGCGUGGGAACCUGCCCUUAGGUUCGGAAUAACUCCCCGAAAGGGGUGCUAAUACCGGAUAAUGUCUUCGGACCAAAGAUUUAUCGCCUUUGGAUGGGCCCGCGUUGGAUUAGCUAGUUGGUAGGGUAAAAGCCUACCAAGGCGACGAUCCAUAGCUGGUCUGAGAGGAUGAUCAGCCACACUGGGGCUGAGACACGGCCCAGACUCCUACGGGAGGCAGCAGUGGGGAAUAUUGGACAAUGGGCGAAAGCCUGAUCCAGCAAUGCCGCGUGAGUGAUGAAGGCCUUAGGGUUGUAAAGCUCUUUUACCCGGGAUGAUAAUGACAGUACCGGGAGAAUAAGCUCCGGCUAACUCCGUG